AACAACCUUUUCUCCUCUAGCUUCUCAAACUUCUCAGCCAUAUUUUUAGAAGUUUCUGGGAGAUUAGACAUCUUUGUAAUCUCCUUAGGCAUGGUGAUGGUGAGGGAGUUGUUAUUGAAGUUCCCAUGGAUCUUAUCUACAAGACAGUUAUGUGGAACAGAAAAGACUUCGUUGAAACGACUCCAUCUCCGACCAGCCAGGGGACGUUCUCCUGUGACUCUUAACAUCUUCGAGAGCUUGAAGAACUGUUAUUUGAGACUAACGUCAAAAGCUAAAUGGUACAUCUCUGCUGCGCAAACGACGACUGGUCAGUGCCCACAGAAGAAUGUCUUCAACCAUCAUUUUUUAGCCCUCACAGCCUCUCAGGGUUGGAGGAAAUAGCAUUAGUGAUCAUCGUUUCCGAGUCGAACGGAGAGAUCUGUCUGGUGAGAGUUGAAAGAUGGUGGCUGAGUGAAGAAUAAGGAGAAGAAGAAAGUAGAGAGAAAGUGGUACUAUAGAAAAAUUGUUUUUUUUUGUUUUUAAACAGUGGAAAGUAUGUGAUUGCAAAUUACCGGGGUGAUUGGUAGAGGCCGUGACUUUCUGUUUUUUGUUCUAAGAUUUAGGUUCUAGAUUUUUAGCUUUAUCUUUAAUUUAUUUUGUUGUAGAAAUUUUUCAGAGCACUGUAUAAAAUCUCUAGAGAAAGUGUUUUCUAAAGCUAACAUAUUUUUUUUAUAA